rnacentral:lncRNA from 1 species
AACGGUGCACAAUGACCAUUGGUGGGUCUACGCGUUUAAUUUUCAUAGUAGGGAAUUGCAUGUCUUGGACUCCCUCGGCCAUAGAAGGUGAAAACACAACAAAAUUGAUAAAGUCAUGGUAAAGAGUAAAAGAUGAUGUUUAGUAAAGAAUGAAGCGAUGAAUUUGGUAUUUGAUUUCUAAUUUCUUGUAUAGUACGAUGCAGGUUGUGCAAGUUGACCAUGUGUACAAAAUUCUUGACAAGUUCGGUGGAGUGAAUAGUCCCCCCCAUUAAAGUAGUCAAACAAAAACUUCCUAUACAGCCAAACGGGUUAGUAUUGAAAUGAAAACUUUUGUUAUUUUUAUGCAUAUUCAUAUGUAAAUAUUUUUAUGUGCUUUCCUGUAUGUAGUUAUGAUUGUGGAGUAUUGGUUUUGAAAUAUAUUGAGCUGUGGAAUGGUAUGGUUGACUAUGACGGGAAGACGAUGCCUGAAUACAACAACGUACAUAUUUGUUCCCUUCACUAGUAGAGUACAAGUUAUAACUUUUAUUCUGCACUGAAAAUUGAUUUUCAAAAUUAAUUUCAGGACGAGCUUCAAGCAUUCCGUCAGGAAAUGGUUUGUAAUUGGGUCCUUGAUGCACGUAAUGCAGAACGAGAAAAUUUGUUGAGGGAGUUCAACUUUCGUGGAACUUUAGAAUGAUGGUGGUUGAAAGUGCGUUGCAUGUGAAUCUGCAUGUUCUGCAAUUGUGUAGUUAUUCAUUACAUGUUUUAGUGUAUCCUAGGAGCAUUCAUAACUGUAGAAGCAUAAUGGAUUACAUACACUUCCAUUGAGUUGAACAAUGUGCGAACUUUUUAAUGCUAAGAAUUGAAGGCGAAUAUUGUUGUACCAUAUGAUGCAACAAACCUUCUAAUUACACUUAAAAUUAGUUUCCAUCAUUUGUAAUUAUGA